rnacentral:rRNA from 1 species
UGGUAGUNCACGCCGUAAACGAUGAGUGCUAGGUGUUAGGCCCUUUCCGGGGCUUAGUGCCGCAGCUAACGCAUUAAGCACUCCGCCUGGGGAGUACGACCGCAAGGUUGAAACUCAAAGGAAUUGACGGGGGCCCGCACAAGCGGUGGAGCAUGAGGUUUAAUUCGAAGCAACGCGAAGAACCUUACCAGGUCAUGACAUCCCUCUGACCGCUCUAGAGAUAGAGUUUUCCUUCGGGACAGAGGUGGCAGGUGGUGCAUGGUUGUCGUCAGCUCGUGUCGUGAGAUGUUGGGUUAANNNNNNCAACGAGCGCAACCCCUAUUGUUAGUUGCCAUCAUUGAGUUGGGCACUCUAGCGAGACUGCCGGUAAUAAACCGGAGGAAGGUGGGGAUGACGUCAAAUCAUCAUGCCCCUUAUGACCUGGGCUACACACGUGCUACAAUGGCUGGUACAACGAGUCGCAAGCCGGUGACGGCAAGCUAAUCUCUGAAAGCCAGUCUCAGUUCGGAU